rnacentral:rRNA from 1 species
GACGAACGCUGGCGGCGUGCCUAACACAUGCAAGUAGGACGCAGUCGCGAACGGGUGAGUAACGCGUAGGUCACUACCUCUUAGAGGGGGCUAACUAUUGGAAACGAUAGCUAAUACCGCAUACUAGUAGAUGGACCUGCGUUGUAUUAGCUAGUAGGUAGGGUAAAGGCCUACCUAGGCAAAGAUACAUAGCCGGCCUGGGGGGGUGGUCGGCCACACUGGGACUUGGACACGGCCCAGACUCCUACGGGAGGCAGCAGUAGGGAAUCUUCGGCAAUGGGGGGAACCCUGGCCGAGCAACGCCGCGUGAGUGAAGAAGGUUUUCGGAUCGUAAAACUCUGUUGUGAAGGAAGCGGUACUUAACCAGAAAGGGACGGCUAACUACGUGCCAGCAGCCGCGGUAAUAC